rnacentral:rRNA from 1 species
AGAUUGAACGCUGGCGGCAUGCCUUACACAUGCAAGUCGAACGGCAGCACGGGGGGUAACCCCUGGUGGCGAGUGGCGAACGGGUGAGUAAUAUAUCGGAACAUGCCCUGUAGCGGGGGAUAACGCGUCGAAAGGUGUGCUAAUACCGCAUACGCUCUACGGAGGAAAGCGGGGGUCGCAAGACCUCGCACUAUAGGAGUGGCCGAUAUCGGAUUAGCUAGUUGGCGGGUAAAAGCCCACCAAGGCGACGAUCCGUAGCUGGUCUGAGAGGAUGAUCAGCCACACUGGAACUGAGACACGGUCCAGACUCCUACGGGAGGCAGCAGUGGGAAUUUUGGACAAUGGGCGCAAGCCUGAUCCAGCCAUGCCGCGUGAGUGAAGAAGGCUUCGGUUGUAAAGCUCUUUCGCAGGAACGAAAUGGUUCGUGCUAAUACCACGGACUGAUGACGUACCUGAAGAAGAAGCACGCUAACUACGUGCAGCAGCCG